AACGAACGCUGGCGGCAGGCUUAACACAUGCAAGUCGAACGCACCUUUCGGGGUGAGUGGCCGACGGGUGAGUAACGCGUGGGAAUCUACCCUUCUCUACGGGAUAGCUCCGGGAAACUGGAAUUAAUACCGUAUACGUCCUGAGGGAGAAAGAUUUAUCGGGGAAGGAUGAGCCCGCGUUGGAUUAGCUAGUUGGUGGGGUAAAGGCCUACCAAGGCGACGAUCCAUAGCUGGUCUAAGAGGAUGAUCAGCCACAUUGGGACUGAGACACGGCCCAAACUCCUACGGGAGGCAGCAGUGGGGAAUAUUGGACAAUGGGCGCAAGCCUGAUCCAGCCAUGCCGCGUGAGUGAUGAAGGCCCUAGGGUUGUAAAGCUCUUUCAGUGGGGACGAUCAUGACGGUACCCACAGAAGAAGCCCCGGCUAACUUCGUG
rnacentral:rRNA from 1 species